UACAGAGGCCUCGAGCGUUAGGCGGAAUCACUGGGCUUAAAGCGUGUGUAGGCGGAUGCCUAAGUACCUUGUGAAAUCCCACGGCUCACCCGUGGAACGGCUGGGUAUACUGGGUGUCUUGAGCCACUUAGGGGCUGCCGGAACAAAUGGUGGAGCGGUGAAAUGCGUAGAUAUCAUUUGGAACGCCAACGGCGAAAGCAGGCAGCUGGGGAUGCACCGACGCUGAGACACGAAAGCCAGGGGAGCGAACGGG
rnacentral:rRNA from 1 species